CAAAAAAACCCAGCGAACUUCCAGCGAAAGUUCGGUGGAAAUUAAAAGAUCACUGGAAAUUUACUAAGAUCACUGGGUUUUCGCUGGAUUUCCAUGGAAACAAAAGACUUCGCUGGAAGUUCGCUGGAAAUCCAACGAAAAACUUCCAGUGAUCUUAAAGUUCGCUGGAAGUUUAUUGGGUUUCUUGCGAAAUAUUUCGCGGUGAUGUAAAAAGCGUUGCUGUUACAACUUCUGCAAGCAGUUAAAACUUGGAAAAUUGAUAAUAUAGCUUCUUAAAAUAAUAUUUCAAAUUUUUGUAUAAAAGUAAUCCUUUUUAUUUUAUUUUUUGCAUCUAAUAGAUGAUCUAUAGUGUGAGUUUCAAUUAUUAUUAGUUCUACUCAAGUUACAAAACAAAAUCAUCUGGUAGUUUAAUGAUUAUAAUGGUUGCCAUUGGUGUUCUUCUCAAGGGAAGACACUGUACUGUUGUAAAUAAUCUUUUAUCUGCAAUCAGUGUGCCAAGCAAUAUAAGACAGACUCGAUGGUCAUUAAGUUGUAUAAAGCAUUGGAAAGGUAUUGAGUUUUUUAAUUUUUUAGUUUUUUAUGGUCCUGUUAUUUUAUGUGAUGUUUUGCCUCCUCAGUUUUUUGACCAUUUUAUUCUUUUAUCUAAUAUUGUUUUUACGUUGAACAAUAAGGUAUUAUCUGAAAGUGUAAUUAAUGAAGCCACAUUAUUAGUUAAUAGAUUUUUUUAUGAGUUUUCUGAUUUGCAUGGUAAAGAAAAUAUGUUUUAUAUUAAUGAGUUAUUUUAA